rnacentral:rRNA from 1 species
CACGUAUGGGGCGAGCGUUGUUCGGAAUUAUUGGGCGUAAAGGGUAUGCAGGCGGUUUGACAAGUCUGAUGUGUAAGACACUGGCUCAACCAGUGGAACGCGUUGGAAACUGUCGAGCUAGAGUACAGGAAGGGGAGUUGGAAUUCCAGGUGUAGGGGUGAAAUCUGUAGAUAUCUGGAAGAACAUCAGUGGCGAAGGCGAACUCCUGGCCAUGUACUGACGCUGAGAUACGAAAGCGUGGGGAGCAAAC